rnacentral:snRNA from 1 species
GUCUGACUUGGGUAUAGG